CCCAGACUCCUACGGGAGGCAGCAGUGGGGGAUAUUGCACAAUGGGGGGAACCCUGAUGCAGCGACGCCGCGUGGGUGAAGGAGCGUUUCGGCGCGUAAAGCCCUCUCGGCAGGGAAGAAGGAGGACGGUACCUGACUAAGAAGCCCCGGCUAACUACGUGCCAGCAGCCGCGGUAAUACGUAGGGGGCAAGCGUUAUCCGGAUUUACUGGGUGUAAAGGGGGCGCAGACGGCAGCGCAAGCCAGGAGUGAAAGCCCGGGGCCCAACCCCGGGACUGCUCUUGGAACUGCGCGGCUGGAGUGCAGGAGGGGCAGGCGGAAUUCCUGGUGUAGCGGUGAAAUGCGUAGAUAUCAGGAGGAACACCGGUGGCGAAGGCGGCCUGCUGGACUGCGACUGACGUUGAGGCCCGAAAGCGUGGGGAGCAAACAGGAUUAGAUACCCGCGUACCC
rnacentral:rRNA from 1 species